GCACUUACAUCCAGCAAUCUCAAACAAGUAGGGACAAGAUUACCUGGAACUCCCCAGGAUACAGCUCCUUCUCCAUCAACGCGGCCUACGAUGUUAUAACUAACCAAGACACCACUAUAGAAGAUAACAACCUAGAUUUUAAGUGGAUCCGAAAAGCAAUACCCAAAACAAAUGAAAUACUUUAUGUGGAUGCUCGUCCUUAAUAGACUUCCAACAGCCACCCUUUUGGCAAAACGAAAUAUAUGCACAUCUGACACUUGCACCAUAUGCAGAGUGGAAAAAGAGGACAUCAAGCAUAUGCUCUUCAACUGUACCCACUCAAAGAAAAUUUGGGGACAAUGUCAUAUAAAGCAUAACUACACCCAAUCGGACAAUAAGCUCACUGCUUACAAUUGGCUAAAGCACAAACUAAAUUUUAACAACUUUGAUAAUCACUACAUCACUUCGCCAGUCUUCUUACCCUUCCUCUUUUGAUACUUAUGGAGUCCUAGAAAUUCC
rnacentral:lncRNA from 1 species